UACGGAGGGUGCGAGCGUUGUCCGGAAUCACUGGGCGUAAAGGGCGCGUAGGCGGCAGGCCAAGCGUGCGGGGAAAGUCCGGGGCUCAACCCCGGAUCUGCCGUGCGGACUGGUUUGCUGGAGCACUGUAGAGGCGAGUGGAAUUCCGGGUGUAGCGGUGGAAUGCGUAGAGAUCCGGAAGAACCCCAGAGGCGAAGGCGGCGCCCUAGCUCGGUUCUGACGCUGAGACACGAAAGCAUGGGGAGCGAACGGG
rnacentral:rRNA from 1 species